UAGGAAUGCCUGAGCAAUGACGCACAUGCCCCACCUGGAAGGGGGUGGGCAGCUUGCUAGCCCUGCUUUGCCCUCAGCUUGCCUUCUGCUCCCUCAUCAGGUCUGUCUGCAGAGUUGUCAUUGGAUAUAAUGCAGAGUUAAGAGACAAACUGCAAUGAACAGCUCAGGGAACAACGCGAGACAAAGGUCGGUGAGUACAAGCAGAAAUGCCUCUUAUUUAAAUACCUGCUUGCGUCUUAGAGCUCUCACUGGGAUCCCACCUGCACGACCUCCACCACCUCCUCCUGAAACGAGACACAACCUUGUAACCGACCUGAACAAUUCUCAAGACUGCGGGAAGUGCUAUUUAUAGUGGGUACAACGGCUUCAGAGUUACUUCCUGGAGUUGGAGCACUGGGUGCAGUCCCAACGGAGCCAACAAGGUGCACUCCAUGGCAUCUGGAGGGGAACGCAAGCCAGGAGGGGUAAAGAGGAGGGAGCAGAGGGUCCCGAAGCAGACUCCACUGACAGGCUGGCAGCACAGAGCCCAACAUGGGGCUCGAACUCACUCCUGAGCCAAAGUCGGACAGUCAACCAACUGAACCAGCCAGUAAAGAAACAGGAACUUCCCUUGAGAGAGGGAAGUGCUCAGACAAAACUCGAAGGCCUGGCACGCCCACGCCGGAGGGUCGUGCUGUAAGCCUGUGUCCCGACAAGUCCUGUACGUCGGGAUUCAUGCUCCUGCUUGGUACCCUUUUGGAAUUAAGAUCUGGAAUUUAUUACCAGAUAGGUGCCCAGACGAUGGCGCUGCUGCUAAACCAGAGACCACGUGUUCACCGCAAGACGGGUUCGCCUCAAGGGACACAAACCACGAGAGGCUACUGAGUUCUGAAAAUGAACGGAGGGCUGCGGGUAGAGGAGGA